GGAAAAAGAAAGCAACAUAGGUGCGGACCGUUACUAAAAUAGAUGAUAUUCUCAUUUUCAGCAAUGGCAAUAAUAGAUCCAUCGGGUUGAUCAUAAAACAAAUAAGAAGAUAUGAGCAAAGCUCUGGACAACAAGUCAAUAACAACAAGAGUUACUUUCUCACUGCCCCAAAGACUGCAGCUACAAGAAUCAAUAGAAUGAGGGCGUAUACCAAAUUCAUGGAGAAGGAAUUCCCAUUCACAUACCUGGGAUGUCCAGUAUAUGUAGGAAGAAAAAAGAUUGGAUAUUUUGACAAUAUGGUAAGCAAGGUGAUGCAAAGGCUAAAUGGUUGGAAAGGUAGAAUGUUGUCACAUGGAGGAAGGAUAGUGCUCAUAAAAAAUGUUUUGCAAGCACUACCUACAUACAACCUUAGUGCAUUAGUACCUCCCAAAGGAACCUUGAACUUACUGGAAAAAUAUUUUGCAAACUUCUUUUGGGGUUCUAAUGGUGACACCAACAAAUAUCACUGAAGUUCGUGGAGAAAGUUAUGUUAUCCAACUGAAGAAGGAGGAAUAGGAAUAAGAAGAAUGGAAGAAAUUAGUGAUACCCUUGCAAUUAAGAGAUGGUGGAGAUUUAGAUCGAAGUCAUCCCUCUUAGCUACUUUUCUGAAAAAUAAGUAUUGUGUAAGAGCUCACCCUGCAACUAAGCAAUGGGCUUUUGGAGAUUCCCACCUGUGGAAAAAGCAUGACUCAAGCUACAAAAAAAAGCUGAAGACCAAAUAAUUUGGCAUGUUAAUUCAGGAAGUUGUAGUUUUUGGUGGGAUAACUGGACAGGGAAGGGUCCACUAGCUGUUGAAGUUUCUAAUGCGACUAAAAGUACCAGAACUCUGGUGAAUUCUUUCAUAACUAAUGGGGAAUGGAAUGAAUGCAAGCUGAGAGAAACUCUCCCUGAUCAUUUGGUGCAUCGGAUCCUAAACAUUGAAAUAGGGAGGCAGAACACUGAAGACCAACUUUACUGGGACUUGAAAGAAACCGGUAAAUAUACAAACAAAUCUGCUUGGAAUAUGAUAAGGAGUUGCAAAGCCAAGGAGUAAAGUUUGACACUUCAGCAUCCCUUUCAAAAUAUCUUUUUUUGCCUGGAGAUUAUGGCAGAAUAAACUUCCUUUCAAUGAAGUCAUCAGUAAGUUUGGGAGGAACAUUACUACCACAUGUUUUUGUUGUUCCAAUCCUAAGAAUGACUCAAUCAAACAUGUCUUUGUGGAUGGAGAUGCGGCAAGGAAAAUAUGGAACUUUUUUGGUGGUCCUAUAGGUAUUUCGGGUCAAUUGGGUACCAUUAGGUCCAUACUGAAUUCCUGGUGGCAAUAAAUGCAGUUCAUAAAUUGGUUCUUCAGAUUGUCCCAAUCAUAGUAUACUGGCAUUUAGGGAAAUAAUGGUGUCCAUGCAAAUAUGGGGAUCAAAAGUUUUUUAACAUGUUCAGAUUGAACCAACAAAUAAGUUAGAUGAUUCAGGCAGCAGUAAAGAAGGCUUUCCCUAGCAAUACUUUAACAUUGCCUUGGAUCAAUUUUUGUGACACCUUACGCAAGCUUCAACCUAUUCCUAAGAGUAUUAUUAUUUGUUGGAACGCGCCAAAGUCAGGAAUGAUAAAAUUGAAUACUGAUGGUAGCUAUACUACAAGCAAUGGAAUAUCAAGACUGGGUGGAAUUUUAAGAGAUUACAAAGUAAAUCUAAUCAUGGCUUUCUCCCAACCAACUACCUGCAGCAGUAAUAUAAUCGCAGAGGCAGUUGCCGUAAAAUUUGGAGUGCAAUGGUGUAUUCUAAAUGGAUAUAAGAAUUUCUCUCUUGAAUUGGACUCUAUUGCAGUUGCACAGAUGAUCAUGGAUAAGCAGGCGAAUAUCUACAAGAUGGUCAAUUUGAUAUAUGAAAUCUCUCAAAUCCUAAGCCAAGGUAGUGUCAAUGUCAGUCAUUGCUUCAGAGAGGCGAACAGCUUAGUUAAACUUGCCUAGGACAGCCAACAAAGCUCUUUCUACUACUCUUUCGAAGAACUACAACGGGCAGCAAAGGGCCAUUUCUUAUUGGACAAAUUCCAGAUGCCAAGUUUAAGGCUAAGAUAUGACAAGGCUAAUUUUUUUGUAAGUUAGUAUUUUUAGAUUAUAGGGAUGCAAAAUAAGUCUCUGUUUUGGCCAUCCCUUUUUUUAAGGACAAAGAUAUUGUCCUUAUGUUGUAACUUAUGAGGUAAGGCCAAGCCCCCCUCUUGUUCCUGUCCUCGUGAAUACAACUUUGACUUGGAAAUUUUAUAUUUUAAAAAAAAUGUCACAGUAUUACUAGUGCUUUUACUCUGUAGAUUUGGUCUUCCUAUGAAUCAGGCCAUUGCUCUUGCUAUGGAUACCCUUUUAAACUUUA